UGUUAUUAUUUGAGUGAACUAAAUUCAAUCUCUCAAAAGUCACUAAAGUGUUCUAAUGUACAAUAUAUGUAUUUUUUUUUAUUUCUCAUACGUAAUAAUCAAUUAUUAUCAUCAAAAUUGUUCGUUUUAUCCGGGAUUAAGGGUGCAGCAGUCGUAUCUUUAAAAAGGUCUAGAAACAUUGUUUUUGAACAACAGCAAUAUUGGAAUAUAGAAAUCCGUAUGGAAAAAAUUUGGUAAUAAAUUAUUAAUGUUAUAUGCAUAUAUAGGGUAUAGCGAAUGCAGGAUCAAAAAGCCCCCGACCAAAAACCCGCACGCAAGGGACAAAAAUUCUCGGAUUCUAUUCAAAUGUUCCG